AUUGAACGCUGGCGGCAGGCCUAACACAUGCAAGUCGAGCGGGAACUUCGGUUCUAGCGGCGGACGGGUGAGUAAUGCGUAGGAAGCUACCCGAUAGGGGGGGAUACCAGUUGGAAACGACUGUUAAUACCGCAUAAUGUCUACGGACCAAAGUGUGGGACCUUCGGGCCACAUGCUAUCGGAUGCGCCUACGUGGGAUUAGCUAGUUGGUGAGGUAAUGGCUCACCAAGGCGACGAUCCCUAGCUGGUUUGAGAGGAUGAUCAGCCACACUGGAACUGAGACACGGUCCAGACUCCUACGGGAGGCAGCAGUGGGGAAUAUUGGACAAUGGGCGCAAGCCUGAUCCAGCCAUGCCGCGUGUGUGAAGAAGGCCUUCGGGUUGUAAAGCACUUUCAGCGAGGAGGAAGGGUUGUGUGUUAAUAGUACACAGCUUUGACGUUACUCGCAGAAGAAGCACCGGCUAACUCUGUGCCAGCCGCCGCGGUAAUAC
rnacentral:rRNA from 1 species